rnacentral:rRNA from 1 species
AUUGAACGCUGGCGGCAGGCCUAACACAUGCAAGUCGAACGAGUGGCGGACGGGUGAGUAAUGUCUGGGAAACUGCCUGAUGGAGGGGGAUAACUACUGGAAACGGUAGCUAAUACCGCAUAACAUAAGAUGGGCCCAGAUGGGAUUAGCUUGUUGGUGGGGUAACGGCUCACCAAGGCGUCGAUCCCUAGCUGGUCUGAGAGGAUGACCAGCCACACUGGACCUGGGACACGGGCCAGACUCCUACGUUGGGCAGCAGUGGUGAAUAUUGCACAAUGGGCGCAAGCCUGAUGCAGCCAUGCCGCGUGUAUGAAGAAGGCCUUCGGGUUGUAAAGCACUUUAAGUUGGGAGGCGUUACCAACAGAAUAAGCACCGGCUAACUUCGUGCCAGCCGCCGCGGUAAUAC